rnacentral:rRNA from 1 species
AUACGGAGGAUCCGAGCGUUAUCCGGAUUUAUUGGGUUUAAAGGGAGCGUAGGUGGAUUGUUAAGUCAGUUGUGAAAGUUUGCGGCUCAACCGUAAAAUUGCAGUUGAAACUGGCAGUCUUGAGUACAGUAGAGGUGGGCGGAAUUCGUGGUGUAGCGGUGAAAUGCUUAGAUAUCACGAAGAACACCGAUUGCGUAGGCAGCUGACCAGACCGCAAAUGACGCUCAUGCACGAAAGUGCGGGGAUCGAACAGGAUUAGAUACCCUGGUAGUCCGCACAGUAAACGAUGAAUACUUGUUUUCGGCGAUAUAAUGUCGGAGGCAAAGCGAAAGCGAUAAGUAUUCCACCUGGGGAGUACGCCGGCAACGGUGAAACUCAAAGGAAUUGACGGGG